UCCAGACUCCUACGGGAGGCAGCAGUGGGGGAUAUUGCACAAUGGGGGGAACCCUGAUGCAGCGACGCCGCGUGGGUGAAGAAGCGCCUCGGCGCGUAAAGCCCUAUCGGCAGGGAAGAAGGAGGACGGUACCUGACUAAGAAGCCCCGGCUAACUACGUGCCAGCAGCCGCGGUAAUACGUAGGGGGCAAGCGUUAUCCGGAUUUACUGGGUGUAAAGGGGGCGCAGACGGCAGCGCAAGCCAGGAGUGAAAGCCCGGGGCCCAACCCCGGGACUGCUCUUGGAACUGCGCGGCUGGAGUGCAGGAGGGGCAGGCGGAAUUCCUGGUGUAGCGGUGAAAUGCGUAGAUAUCAGGAGGAACACCGGUGGCGAAGGCGGCCUGCUGGACUGCGACUGACGUUGAGGCCCGAAAGCGUGGGGAGCAAACAGGAUUAGAUACCCUUGUAC
rnacentral:rRNA from 1 species